AGCUUUUCAAUCCAUUUCAGCUCAUUCAAUUCCUUUGGCAAAAAAAAUAUUCUUGUUCUCAAGGUCAACAAGUAGAAACUAAGAAAAUGGCAGCAAUGUUGAAGUUGGCAUCUUCCCCAUGCGUAACCUACUUUCAUUACAUCGCCUUGAAUCCUCGUUCACGGGAUUUGAUAUGAGCAUAUCGUACUCUUCUGGAUGUGACACUGGGAUGCUAAGAAAUUACAUGAUGAAAUAUUCUGGAUAGUGCAGGCUUGGGAUCCUCCGCGGCCUCGUAAAGUUUUGAAGGCGUCUUCUAGACAGGGAGGUGAUGAUAUUCUUGCGCUGCACCCUUGAAGAGUAGAUGACCUUGUUGUGAGUACGUCUUUUUGGUUGACUAUGUCUUCUGAGCUUUGACAGUGAAGGGAUUCCGUGUAUAUCCUCAGUCCCCAAGUAUGGUUUACAUGUUUCCAUCUUUGUAGUAAUUUUUGUUGUGGUGAAUCUCUGUAUGGUAUCAACGAAUGAGCGACAACAGUUCUCGGUAGGAGAUGUAAUCAGAAAAGACUACAUUCUCGUGGUAACAAAGUAGGUUGGAUGAAAUUGUAUGGGCUUCCGUGGAAGUAAAAGGAUUGCCUGGUUGUGAUCAUGAUCCUUGACAUGGGGAGCGUGGUGGUACGACCCUUUCCAGGAAGAAGCGGCGUUGAAGCAGCUUCGGCUCUUGGAGAGGAUGUUGAAACUUAGGAAGUCAAACGCUAAAGUUUCGGCUUCGGAUCCUGGAGCAGCUUAUGGAAAGAACGCUGAAGCGUAGAGGUUGAUGGAGAGACCGUUGAAGCGAAGCAGCUAUCGGGGUGAAUUUUGAAGCGGAGCGGCUGCGUUAAUCAAUGUGCUGUCAAACUGGACACCCUUCAAGCGAACAAUGGUUAGGAAUCCCCAGUUCCUUAUAUUAAUCAUGCUUUGGUUUGGGAGCGGCUUCUCUGGUUGGAAACAUCUGCUUCCUUAAUGCAGUGCGGUUGAGGGCUGCAGAUAUGUCUUGACGUUGUGCCUUGGGGAAACGUAUAAUCUCACAUAAAUGUUUCAUCAUGGACCGCACAGUUUUGUGGGCGAAGUCCCCAGAAAUCAUGCGUCUCUUGACAGGAAGAGAGUCUUCGUGAACCCAGGGGAUUUGCUGAUUUUCCUUGCUUCGAUUUCGGAGAAGUCGUUCCCGAUAUUUACGUGUGAUGAAAUCGGAUUGCUGAUUCCCUACUGGGAGUUCAAGUGCAACGCUAGAAGGAUGCAAGAUGCUAGCGCUGGGAAGAUGCAAGCUGCUGUUAAAUGCGAGUUGCUGUAAAGAUGCAAGCUGGAAGUGCAAGUGUGACGCUGGAAGGACGCAAGCUGUCAUUACGCUGGAAAAGAUGCAAGUUGCUGGCCCCGGAAAUAUGCAAGUCGUUAGCACUGGAUCUUGUUGGAACGAGCGUUAGCUUUGCGUGGGUGCUGGUUCCGGCGUGGGCGCUGUCUUGGCGUGGCGCGGUAGCAAUAAAGUGGGCCAGCAUAUUCCAGGUAUGUACUCCAGCGUUUCUUGUGUUGGUGCAAACCCUAGCCAUAGGUAUGCCUCACAUAAAUCUGUAGAAAUAUUGUUUUUCUCUUCGAAUAUUACCGUGGUAGCGUCAUUUACCCCAUGAAUAGUGACUAGUAACCGUCAUGAUGCAAAGUAGGUACACAUGGGCAUGCAACUGAUUCCACGAAGACUGGCCGUUAGGAUUUCUCUGAGAUACAAGGUUGCAGGCCAAGGUAACCAAAGGUCCUUCUGCGAACGUGGUCAAACAACAAGAGGCGGAGGUUGGAAGGCUGUACAAAGAGUUGGAUCUGAAACAGGCGGUCCUCCAAAUGACGAAGGACGUUUUCUUCGAGAAGGGCAAACCACCGUUGAAUGGCUUCCUUUGGAUGCAAUUCUGUCUUCUGAAAUUCUUCUGUUUUUUUUCCCGAGCUGCAUGCAGUUGCUUGAAGAGUGCCUCUGGUGGUAUCGCGGGGCUUAACUACGGUAAUGCUGCCUCACUCCCAAUCAAAUGUGGUGUUAACAUCCCUUACCAGAUCAGCCCCUCUACUGACUGCACCAAGGUUCAGUAAAUACCAAAAUUAUACCAUAAGAGGAUUUGCAUUUAGCCGGAAUGAAUGAGUUACUGAUACGAUGAAGAAUAAAAUGGAUGUUUAGUUGAUAAAGCAUUAUGUCAUAAGGAGGUCAGAUGCGCGUACUUAUGCCGAGCUUUAUUACCUAUCAUCCGCUGCUUAGUGCCUAGUAUUGUACGCUAUUGUGAUGUUGUUGGUGUUGCGGCCGUCGUUGUUUUUUCUGUAGUAGAAUUAGGAUGUUUCUCUCUUGGAUUUUACUAUCAUCUAAUCAGAGCAGAUAUUUCCUGGUAGUUAAUGUAAUCCUCCAAUUUUUAAAUAAUGAAAAUUAAGAUUUACUUACUA